rnacentral:rRNA from 1 species
AACGAACGCUGGCGGCAGGCUUAACACAUGCAAGUCGAGCGCGUAGCAAUACGAGCGGCAGACGGGUGAGUAACGCGUGGGAAUCUACCCAACCCUACGGAAUAACGCAUGGAAACGUGUGCUAAUACCGUAUACGCCCUUUGGGGGAAAGAUUUAUCGGGGAUGGAUGAGCCCGCGUUGGAUUAGCUAGUUGGUGGGGUAAAGGCCUACCAAGGCGACGAUCCAUAGCUGGUCUGAGAGGAUGAUCAGCCACAUUGGGACUGAGACACGGCCCAAACUCCUACGGGAGGCAGCAGUGGGGAAUAUUGGACAAUGGGCGCAAGCCUGAUCCAGCCAUGCCGCGUGAGUGAUGAAGGCCCUAGGGUUGUAAAGCUCUUUCACCGGUGAAGAUAAUGACGGUAACCGGAGAAGAA